rnacentral:lncRNA from 1 species
GGACAAAAUGCUUCAGCAGAUGGCUUUUCAACCUAAGCACUUUCAUUGCAAGACAAGAUCUCUUACAGUGGAUAAGAAGAGCCAGACUCUCUCUCACACACCAGGUGAAGAACUUCAGACAACAGGAGGAAGCUUCGGAACCACAGUUUUCUUACUCUGAAAUAGUCAAAGCAGAAAUGAGCAAAACUUUUGCAACUGUGUGAAACUGAAAACCUUGGCAGGACCAUAGUUGAUAGAAAGAGCAAUUCCUACACAGUGAGUAAUACCCAGCAUGUCAUACAGAUAAAAUAAAUUCAGAGAUGUGAAAGAGAAGCAUGUGAGCAAGACAAGACAACCAAGAAACUGCAAGCUGACAGAUCUGCAAAAAGGAAAGGACAAUA